GAUGAACGCUGGCGGCGUGCCUAAUACAUGCAAGUCGAGCGAACAGACGAGGAGCUUGCUCCUUUGACGUUAGCGGCGGACGGGUGAGUAACACGUGGGUAACCUACCUAUAAGACUGGGAUAACUUCGGGAAACCGGAGCUAAUACCGGAUAAUAUUUCGAACCGCAUGGUUCGAUAGUGAAAGAUGGCUUUGCUAUCACUUAUAGAUGGACCUGCGCCGUAUUAGCUAGUUGGUAAGGUAACGGCUUACCAAGGCAAGGAUACGUAGCCGACCUGAGAGGGGGAUAGGCCACACGGGAACUGGGACACGGUCCAGGCUCCUACGGGAGGCAGCAGUAGGGAAUCUUCCGCAAUGGGGGAAAGCCUGACGGAGCAACGCCGCGUGAGUGAUGAAGGUCUUCGGAUCGUAAAACUCUGUUAUUAGGGAAGAACAAACGUGUAAGUAACUGUGCACGUCUUGACGGUACCUAAUCAGAAAGCCACGGCUAACUACGUG
rnacentral:rRNA from 1 species